rnacentral:rRNA from 1 species
GCCGGGCGACGGUUGUCCCGGUUUAAGCGUGUAGGGGGUGUGACCUGGUAAAUCCGGUUGCAUACUAACCCUGAGGCGUGAUGACGAUGCACUACGGUGCAGAAGUAGUUGAUGCCCUGCUUCCAGGAAAAUCCUCUAAGCUCCAGGUAACAUUAAAUCGUACCCCAAACCGACACAGGUGGUCAGGUAGAGAAUACCAAGGCGCUUGAGAGAACUCGGGUGAAGGAACUAGGCAAAAUGGUGCCGUAACUUCGGGAGAAGGCACGCUGGCAUGUAGGUGAAGUCCCUCGCGGAUGGAGCUGAAGCCAGUCGAAGAUACCAGCUGGCUGCAACUGUUUAAUAAAAACACAGCACUGUGCAAACACGAAAGUGGACGUAUACGGUGUGACGCCUGCCCGGUGCUGGAAGGUUAAUUGAUGGGGUCAGCCGCAAGGCGAAGCUCUUGAUCGAAGCCCCAGUAAACGGCGGCCGUAACUAUAACGGUCCUAAGGUAGCGAAAUUCCUUGUCGGGUAAGUUCCGACCUGCACGAAUGGCGUAAUGAUGGCCAGGCUGUCUCCACCCGAGACUCAGUGAAAUUGAACUCGCUGUGAAGAUGCAGUGUACCCGCGGCAAGACGGAAAGACCCCGUGAACCUUUACUAUAGCUUGACACUGAACAUUGAGCCUUGAUGUGUAGGAUAGGUGGGAGGCUUUGAAGCGUGGACGCCAGUCUGCGUGGAGCCAUCCUUGAAAUACCACCCUUUAAUGUUUGAUGUUCUAACUCGGCCCC